UUUAUUGGGUCUAAAGGGUCCGUAGCCGGUUUGAUCAGUUCUUCGGGAAAUCUGACAGCUCAACUGUUAGGCUUCCGGGGAAUACUGUCAGACUUGGGACCGGGAGAGGUAAGAGGUACUACAGGGGUAGGAGUGAAAUCUUGUAAUCCCUGUGGGACCACCAGUGGCGAAGGCGUCUUACCAGAACGGGUCCGACGGUGAGGGACGAAAGCUGGGGGCACGAACCGGAUUAGAUACCCGGGUAGUCCCAGCCGUAAACGAUGUUCGCUAGGUGUCAGGGGCGGUGCGACCGCUUCUGGUGCCGUAGGGAAGCCGUGAAGCGAACCACCUGGGAAGUACGGCCGCAAGGCUGAAACUUAAAGGAAUUGGCGGGGGAGCACUACAACGGGUGGAGCCUGCGGUUUAAUUGGACUCAACGCCGGAAAACUCACCGGGGGCGACAGCAAGAUGUAGGUCAAGCUAAAGACUUUACCUGAAUCGCUGAGAGGAGGUGCAUGGCCGUCGUCAGUUCGUACUGUGAAGCAUCCUGUUAAGUCAGGCAACGAGCGAGACCCGUGCCCACUGUUGCCAGCAUGUCCUUCGGGAUGAUGGGUACUCUGUGGGGACCGCUGGUGCUAAACCAGAGGAAGGUGCGGGCUACGGUAGGUCAGUAUGCCCCGAAUCUCCCGGGCUACACGCGGGCUACAAUGGUUGGGACAAUGGGUUCCUACACCGAAAGGUGAUGGCAAUCUCCUAAACCCAACCGUAGUUCGAAUUGAGGACUGUAACUCGUCCUCAUGAAGCUGGGAAUCCGUAGUAUCGCGUUUCAACAUAGCGCGGUGAAUACGUCCCUGCCUCCUUGCACACACC
rnacentral:rRNA from 1 species